AGAGUUUGAUCCUGGCUCAGAUUGAACGCUGGCGGCAGGCCUAACACAUGCAAGUCGAGCGGAAACGAAGAGGUGCUUGCACCUCUGGCGUCGAGCGGCGGACGGGUGAGUAAUGCUUGGGAAUAUGCCUUAUGGUGGGGGACAACAGUUGGAAACGACUGCUAAUACCGCAUAAUGUCUACGGACCAAAGUGGGGGACCUUCGGGCCUCACGCCAUAAGAUUAGCCCAAGUGGGAUUAGCUAGUUGGUGAGGUAAUGGCUCACCAAGGCGACGAUCCCUAGCUGGUUUGAGAGGAUGAUCAGCCACACUGGGACUGAGACACGGCCCAGACUCCUACGGGAGGCAGCAGUGGGGAAUAUUGCACAAUGGGCGCAAGCCUGAUGCAGCCAUGCCGCGUGUGUGAAGAAGGCCUUCGGGUUGUAAAGCACUUUCAGUAAGGAGGAAAGGUUAAGUGUUAAUAGCACUUAGCUGUGACGUUACUUACAGAAGAAGCACCGGCUAACUCCGUGCCAGCAGCCGCGGUAAU
rnacentral:rRNA from 1 species